rnacentral:rRNA from 1 species
GGCGAACGGGUUAGUAACACGUAGGUGAUCUGUCCCCGGGUGGGGUAUAGCCCAUGGAAACAUGGGGUAAUACCGCAUGAGGUCCUGGAGCUUGAAGGCUUCUGGAUGAAAGGCGCAAUUGUGUUGCCUGGGGAUGAGCCUGCGGCUCAUUAGCUAGUUGGCGGGGUAAGGGCCCACCAAGGCGACGAUGGGUAGCCGGCCUGAGAGGGUGUACGGCCACACUGGGACUGAGACACGGCCCAGACUCCUACGGGAGGCAGCAGCUAAGAAUCUUCCGCAAUGGGGGAAACCCUGACGGAGCGACGCCGCGUGGACGAAGAAGGCCGCAAGGUUGUAAAGUCCUUUUGCAGACGAAGAAUAGGCUUAGGAGUGGAACGCCUGAGCGAUGACGUUAGUCUGCGAAUAAGCCCCGGCCAAUUACGUGCCAGCAGCCGCGGUAACACGUAUGGGGCGAGCGUUGUUCGGAAUCACUGGGCGUAAAGGGCGUGUAGGCGGUUCGAAAAGCCCGGCGUGAAGGGUGUCGGCCCAACCGACAGACGGCGCUGGGAACUGCCGGACUG